UACGUAGGUGGCGAGCGUUGUCCGGAUUUACUGGGCGUAAAGAGCGCGCAGGCGGCCAAGUCAGUCGAAUGUGAAAGCCCCCGGCUCAACUGGGGAGGGUCACGCGAUACUGAUCGACUCGAAGGCAGGAGAGGGUAGUGGAAUUCCCGGUGUAGUGGUGAAAUGCGUAGAUAUCGGGAGGAACACCAGUGGCGAAGGCGACUACCUGGCCUGUUUCUUGACGCUGAGGCGCGAAAGCUAGGGGAGCAAACGGG
rnacentral:rRNA from 1 species